GAUGAACGCUGGCGGCGUGCCUAAUACAUGCAAGUCGAGCGAACAGAUGAGGAGCUUGCCCCUCUGACGUUAGCGGCGGACGGGUGAGUAACACGUGGAUAACCUACCUAUAAGACUGGGAUAACUACGGGAAACCGGAGCUAAUACCGGAUAAUAUAUUGAACCGCAUGGUUCAAUAGUGAAAGACGGUUUUGCUGUCACUUAUAGAUGGAUCCGCGCCGCAUUAGCUAGUUGGUAAGGUAACGGCUUACCAAGGCAACGAUGCGUAGCCGACCUGAGAGGGUGAUCGGCCACACUGGAACUGAGACACGGUCCAGACUCCUACGGGAGGCAGCAGUAGGGAAUCUUCCGCAAUGGGCGGAAGCCUGACGGAGCAACGCCGCGUGAGUGAUGAAGGUCUUCGGAUCGUAAAACUCUGUUAUUAGGGAAGAACAAAUGUGUAAGUAACUAUGCACGUCUUGACGGUACCUAAUCAGAAAGCCACGGCUAACUACGUG
rnacentral:rRNA from 1 species